CUUUGAAACUCUCUCUUUUAUUUACUUAGCGUUGCCUAUAAAUACAUGGCCGCUUCAUCAAGACAUCUACAUCUGGAAAGCAAGCCGGUGCUAGGAACGAUCAAAUCACAUAGAAGUGCAUAGAGGUCGUGGCGUUUGCCCAAUUUCAUUCCCACCAUGAGCAAGCCAUGCGACGGUGCCAAUCCCAAGACGGAGUGGCCUGAGCUGGUCGGGCGCACGAUCAAGGAGGCGGAGGAGAAGAUCAAGGCGGACCGACCGGACCUCAAAGUUGUCAUUGUCCCGGUAGGAAGUGUUGUGACACAGGAGGUCGAUCUGAACCGCGUCCGCGUCUGGGUCGACACAGUGGCGGAGGUUCCCAAGAUUGGCUAAGCUAGCUUGUAAUUAGCCAACUGGAAUAAAAGCCCAUGCAAGUCUCAACAUCGUCCAGUUAAUUUGCCGAACAAAUAAGCAUGGGUAUGUUGUGAAGAAAAAUAAGUAUUGUUGGUGUUUUGCGGAAAUGUAUCAUGUGUGGAUCUGUUAUGUAUGUUAUUUUGUUGUAAGUUGUAAUAAGCAUCGUUAAUAUUAUCUGGCCCUGUUUAUAUUGUCUAAUAAAUAUAAUCUACUUUAGCGGAGUGAAAUCCGUUUCA